rnacentral:rRNA from 1 species
CAGCAGCCGCGGGAAUACGAAGGGGGCUAGCGUUGUUCGGAAUUACUGGGCGUAAAGCGCACGUAGGCGGCUUGGUAAGUUAGAGGUGAAAGCCCGGAGCUCAACUCCGGAAUUGCCUUUAAGACUGCCGAGCUAGCAGGUGAGAGAGGUAAGUGGAAUUCCGAGUGUAGAGGUGAAAUUCGUAGAUAUUCGGAAGAACACCAGUGGCGAAGGCGGCUCACUGGCUCAUACUGGACGCUGAGGUGCGAAAGCGUGGGGAGCAAACAGGAUUAGAGACCCCUGUAGUCCCUGUCUCUUAUAA